rfam:Triticum aestivum genome assembly, contig: Triticum_aestivum_CS42_TGACv1_scaffold_158764_2DL
ACAAUACUCCCUCCAUCCCAAAAAGCUUGUCUUAGAUUUGUCUAUAUACGGAUGUAUCCAGACACGUUUUAGUGUUAGAUUCAUCCGUAUCUACAUACGGAUGUAUCCAGACACGUUUUAGUGUUAGAUUCAUCCGAAUCUACAUAAAUCUAAGACAAGCUUUUUGGGACGGAGGUAAUAUUAU